CCCCUCCUUUCCCCUGUAUGGCCCCUCCUCUAUCUCUAUGGUGCUCGGAGAGAGAGAGGGCCGGCGCCAUUUUAGGUCUGGAGAGGAGAUUUCGAGAAAGGAGCGGGAAAGGUCCAUCCUUUUUGCCAGAGACCUGCCACUGUAUCUUGGAGUGUAUGUUGGACUAGAUUCCUUUUGGUUGUCCAAUAUGUGCAGCAACAAAAUACCUCCCAAUUUAGUUGACUGUGUCAUCUACUCUGAAGAGUUUAUUCAACAAACCCAGCAAUGUAAUACCACAAUGCAAUCCUAGCCAUGCCAUUUCAGAAGUUCUAUUUCAGUUCAAUGGGGCUAACUCCCAGGUAAGAUAAAGAGUAAGUGUAUGACAAAUAAUUUAGUGACUCAUUAAUGCUGUUUCAAAAGUUCAAAUUAUCAAAUGAAAAUUACAAUUAUCAGUUUUCUGUAUGAGUCAUUUAUAUGUAAGGUAUAGCUUUAUAAAAUGCAGUUUUGUACAUUCUUUCCAGUUAUAUGAAUGUAAACAACUGGGGGGAAAGUUAAGGUUUCCAAUUGCUUUUGAGAAAGAAUGGCUGAUUACUCUUACAAGGUCACUCUUUUUCAUAACUUGGCCAGCUGGGUUAAAAACCCACAGAGCUUCCUCUCUGGAGGUGGCAGUGAAAAGUGUUGCUGCUACCAUUUUAUUUCCAGCAAGUCCUUGAUGGAAAACACAUUAAUAUUACAUAUGUAACCUAUGUAGCCUACAAGUACUAAAGUGUUUAUAAAAGUAAUGGCCCAGGCUGAACAAAUAAUACUUGCCUCUGAAAAAGCUGAAGAAAAGUGAUUGCAGUUUUUGUGCAUUAAGUGAUAGGCAUUUCCUUUAAAGUCUUUUCCAAGUUCUUCUAUAAUUUUUUCUAUAUCCUCCUCCAUGAAGUCAGUACUUCCAAGAACAACAGCUUCUCUAAAAUAAAAGAGGGUGGAGGCAGUUGCAGAGAGAGAAAGUUGUUGCAAAUCAGACUGGAUAUGUUUUUAUUCCCUGUUUGCUCUUGACAGCAUGCACACACCUCCAAAAAUUAUCGUGUUAAAAAUAGAACUUCACUGCUUUUGUCCUCUGGUUGUUUUUGAACUUCAUGCCACAAGGCCUCACUACUUUUACACUACCACUUCCUUGCUCUUAUCCAAGAGAUCUCUCUGUAAAUCCAGAUUUGUGUACAUACAAAUGUAUAAUCAAUCAUUUAUUAUGCAGCCACAGGCCUGUUAAAAUUAUUUGGUGCUUUAUACUGUAUAUCACUUUUUUAUUACUAUAAAUAUCAUCUUUUCCUCCAUGGAGCUCAAGGUGGUGUACAUGCUCCUCAUUCUAUAACCCUGUGAGGUAGGUUAGGCUGAGAGAUGGUGACUGGCCCAAAGUGAGGAUUUGAAUCCCAGUCUCCCAGGCCAUAGUCUAAUCAUUACAUUAAGUUCCAUAUCUCAUAUUAAGAGGCAGUGGGUAGAUACAUUUGGUUGCUCAAAAAAUACUAUUCAAAAUUAGCAGGUUGUAGUCAACAGACGUCUGAAUCUAAAUCACCCAAACAUAUUUUGGGCUACACCAAUAAAUGAAAGAACUUCUUACUUGAAUUUAAAUGUUUCUCCCAAGUCAGAUGCAUUUCCUGGAGAAAUUUCAAAUAUUCCAGAAAAAGGGUAUGGAUGUCCACCAUAAGCAAAUUCUGAAAUACAAAAUCAGGAUUUUAUGCACAACUCAUUAACCCAAGUUACUGAAUAUGUGAUUUCCAAGCAGCAUCCCAUCAAGGCACUGAUAAGACCUGGACCUACUUAGGUUCAGCAAGGUGAUGGCUUCAUGUACCACUGGAAAUAUCAGCUAAUAGCAGAGCUGGACCAUUAAAUAUUAAGUUCAUUUCUGGUUCAGCUCAGUAGCAAUGCUUAGCUGUUUGAUUAAACCUUUACGUCUUCAA